GGUUAAUAUUCCCGUACUUGGUGUUACUGCGAAGGGGGGACGGAGAAGGCUAUGUUGGCCGGGCGACGGUUGUCCCGGUUUAAGCGUGUAGGUGUGUGUUCCAGGUAAAUCCGGUUCACUUUAACACUGAGGCGUGAUGACGAGGCACUACGGUGCUGAAGCAACAAAUGCCCUGCUUCCAGGAAAAGCCUCUAAGCAUCAGGUAACAUCAAAUCGUACCCCAAACCGACACAGGUGGUCAGGUAGAGAAUACCAAGGCGCUUGAGAGAACUCGGGUGAAGGAACUAGGCAAAAUGGUGCCGUAACUUCGGGAGAAGGCACGCUGACACGUAGGUGAAGUGAUUUACUCAUGGAGCUGAAGUCAGUCGAAGAUACCAGCUGGCUGCAACUGUUUAUUAAAAACACAGCACUGUGCAAACACGAAAGUGGACGUAUACGGUGUGACGCCUGCCCGGUGCCGGAAGGUUAAUUGAUGGGGUCAGCGCAAGCGAAGCUCCUGAUCGAAGCCCCGGUAAACGGCGGCCGUAACUAUAACGGUCCUAAGGUAGCGAAAUUCCUUGUCGGGUAAGUUCCGACCUGCACGAAUGGCGUAAUGAUGGCCAGGCUGUCUCCACCCGAGACUCAGUGAAAUUGAACUCGCUGUGAAGAUGCAGUGUACCCGCGGCAAGACGGAAAGACCCCGUGAACCUUUACUAUAGCUUGACACUGAACAUUGAGCCUUGAUGUGUAGGAUAGGUGGGAGGCUUUGAAGUGUGGACGCCAGUCUGCAUGGAGCCGACCUUGAAAUACCACCCUUUAAUGUUUGAUGUUCUAACGUGGACCCGUAAUCCGGGUUGCGGACAGUGUCUGGUGGGUAGUUUGACUGGGGCGGUCUCCUCCUAAAGAGUAACGGAGGAGCACGAAGGUUGGCUAAUCCUGGUCGGACAUCAGGAGGUUAGUGCAAUGGCAUAAGCCAGCUUGACUGCGAGCGUGACGGCGCGAGCAGGUGCGAAAGCAGGUCAUAGUGAUCCGGUGGUUCUGAAUGGAAGGGCCAUCGCUCAACGGAUAAAAGGUACUCCGGGGAUAACAGGCUGAUACCGCCCAAGAGUUCAUAUCGACGGCGGUGUUUGGCACCUCGAUGUCGGCUCAUCACAUCCUGGGGCUGAAGUAGGUCCCAAGGGUAUGGCUGUUCGCCAUUUAAAGUGGUACGCGAGCUGGGUUUAGAACGUCGUGAGACAGUUCGGUCCCUAUCUGCCGUGGGCGCUGGAGAACUGAGGGGGGCUGCUCCUAGUACGAGAGGACCGGAGUGGACGCAUCACUGGUGUUCGGGUUGUCAUGCCAAUGGCACUGCCCGGUAGCUAAAUGCGGAAGAGAUAAGUGCUGAAAGCAUCUAAGCACGAAACUUGCCCCGA
rnacentral:rRNA from 1 species